GCAACGCGCAGAGCCUUACCAACCUUGAACAUGUUUCGUAUGGUUUCCAGAGAUGGAUUCCUUCAGUUCGGCUGGCGAGAACACAGGUGUUGCAUGGCUGUCGUCAGCUCGUGUCGUGAGAUGUUGGGUUAAGUCCCGCAACGAGCGCAACCUUCGCCUUUAGUUGCCAUCAUUUAGUUGGGCACUCUAGAGGGACUGCCGGUGAUAAGCCGGAGGAAGGUGGGGAUGACGUCAAGUCCUCAUGGCCCUUACGGGUUGGGCUACACACGUGCUACAAUGGCGGCGACAAUGGGCAGCGAAGGGGCGACCCGGUGCAAAUCCCAAAAAGCCGUCUCAGUUCGGAUUGUACUCUGCAACUCGAGUGCAUGAAGGUGGAAUCGCUAGUAAUCGCGUAACAGCAUGACGCGGUGAAUACGUUCCCGGGCCUUGUACACACCGCCCGUCACACCAUGGGAGUUGGUUUUACCCGAAGCUGGUGCGCUAACCGCAAGGAGGCAGCCAACCACGGUAAGGUCAGCGACUGGGGUGAAGUCGUAACAAGGUAGCCCUAGGGGACCUGGGGCUGGAUCACCUCCUUAAGCUUGGAUUCCCGGGC
rnacentral:rRNA from 1 species